rnacentral:rRNA from 1 species
UACGUAGGGGGCAAGCGUUGUCCGGAUUUAUUGGGCGUAAAGAGCGUGUAGGCGGCCAGGUAGGUCCGUUGUGAAAACUCGAGGCUCAACCUCGAGACGUCGGCGGAAACCCUCUGGCUAGAGUCCGGAAGAGGAGAGUGGAAUUCCUGGUGUAGCGGUGGAAUGCGCAGAUAUCAGGAAGAACACCAAUGGCGAAAGCAGCUCUCUGGGACGGUACUGACGCUGAGACGCGAAAGCGUGGGGAGCGAACAGG